UGUAAUGGUUGAGGCUCAUGUUGUUCCUGUUGUGGUUCAAACAUGUGGGGAUUGUGGUAAACGCCAUUCGGGUGAAUGUUAGAGAAGGUUGGCAGCUUGUCUGCGAUGUGAGUCGAUGGAGCACCGCAUUAAGGAUUUUCCACAGUGCUCUGAUCAGGUGUAAGCCUUAGCUCUAAGUACAGUUCAACCUCAACGAGCAGUUUAGUAGCCACCUAGGGGUUGUGCUCACCAAGGGUGGUAACAAAAUGGGUAUAGGUUAGAGUGCACUGGGC
rnacentral:lncRNA from 1 species